CGGAGGAUUAUGAGGAGGAAGUGAGCAUGUCUGGGGGUGUCAUCAUCAAGGACGAAGGAGCCUCAUACAACGGGAGUGGCAGCAGAGGGACCUUCAGCCCUCAGCUCUCGGCUGUGGACCCUGCCAUCGAGAUGCACAUCCGGAGGCCGAAGCUCGUGAGCAGCCCCUGACCCAGUGGCGGUCCCCCCGAGGUGGUGUGGGGGGGGCCUGCUCGGGGCACUGUGAAUAGCCCAGGCCCAGUCCAGACACCAGGCCUCAUGGAGCUAGAGCCCCCACCCCCAGGGAAGGGGGCAGAAUCGUUUGGUAGAGUGGCUGC